UUUUCAAAAAACUUUUGUGAAAAAGCGAACAUGGAACUCGGAGAUUCCAACGAGACCCAAUACGCCGACUUGUGAUUCGGAACGUCUUCGGCAUGCACAGAACAGCCUCUCAGCAAGGGACGGGUGUCCGAAGGUGUGAGGUGGAAGUUUCGAAUGCAUGGGAAAGGACGACAAAGAAAUGUCCUCUUGGG
rnacentral:ribozyme from 1 species